UCACUCAUAACCCGUAAAGGACCGGUUUACAAGAUUAGGGCUUGUAAUUUCUUUAAGUGAACGAGUCGCUACUCGCAAUCUCCCCAAUUCCACAUCGCCAUUUCUGUAAUCUCGACGCUCUCAACAACAUGGGUGGAGGAGACCACGGACACCACCACGCCGAUGCGGCCGGCGACUUCCGGGCCAAGGUCUGGACCAUGACCGGCGGACCUAAUUGCAGGCCCGUGCACUGGAAACGCAAUACCGCCAUCGCCAUGGCAGGAAUCGUUCUCAUUUGCAUUCCCAUCGCCAUGAAAUCCGCCCAGCUCGAGCAAAGGCCCCAUAAUCCGGUCAGGCCAAUUCCCUCUCAGCUCUGGUGCAAGAACUUCGGGACGAAAGAAUACUAAUUUUGUGCUAGUUUGUCAGUGAAACUGUCAUGGAUAUCAGCUGUUCUGUGGAUAAACUGUGUAAUUGGAUCCUGAAAUUGUGUAUUUCACUAUUUCUUGGAAUUUUUCAAUUUGAACUUAGCAAGUCUUCAAGAUAACCAUUUUGGAUUGAAUAAGAAAUGACUGUCUUGUGCUGCUCUCUGUAUAAUCUUGGGAGGUUGGCCUUAAAAUUUGUUCUUAAUAAAGUGAUACACUUCUUCUUCUAAA